rnacentral:rRNA from 1 species
CCUACGGGAGGCAGCAGUGAGGAAUAUUGGUCAAUGGGCGAGAGCCUGAACCAGCCAAGUAGCGUGCAGGAUGACGGCCCUAUGGGUUGUAAACUGCUUUUAUAGGGGAAUAAAGUGAGCUACGUGUAGUUUAUUGCAUGUACCCUAUGAAUAAGGACCGGCUAAUUCCGUGCCAGCAGCCGCGGUAAUACGGAAGGUUCGGGCGUUAUCCGGAUUUAUUGGGUUUAAAGGGAGCGUAGGCCGUGGAUUAAGCGUGUUGUGAAAUGUAGAUGCUCAACAUCUGACUUGCAGCGCGAACUGGUUUACUUGAGUGUGCGCAACGUAGGCGGAAUUCGUCGUGUAGCGGUGAAAUGCUUAGAUAUGACGAAGAACUCCGAUUGCGAAGGCAGCUUACGGGAGCACAACUGACGCUGAAGCUCGAAGGUGCGGGUAUCAAACAGGAUUAGAUACCCGGGUAGUC